rnacentral:lncRNA from 1 species
GAACUAAUGUGUCGUUCUUUGACAAAUUUCCUCAAUCUCAACAAGGAUUACCACCUCGGUUCCAUACGUAAGUUGGCAUGUUAGACUCAUCGGUGGUAAUUUCCUUAAUUCUUUGUUAGAUACUCUUUAAAUUUCUUGCCUACAAAGUAAUUGUUGUUGUUGUUAGUUAUGACCAUCUUAGAGAUCUCAAAUAUUGUCAAAAUAUUUCUUUUGAAUAAAAAAAGGACAUUGUUCGAUAUAAUUUAUGACAAGGCUUUAACUCAUUU